AUUUGUAAAGAACUAAAAGUAAGUUUACAAUUAUCAAAAACAAUGUUUAACCUAGUUAUGUAAUGUGUAUGUUCUGGUAGGCCUACAUUGUUGCAAGUGCACGCUGAAGAUGGAGACAUGUGACAGCUUUUUAAAAAUGACAAUGACGAAAGCAGAUAUUUUAAAGACAGCCAGAUUACUACGCUUACUUACUGUGAUAAGACAUAUUGAGCAUUUACAGAGUAUGGUGCUGUCGCACUACGUUUGUUUAUGGUUACGUUCCCACUAGUAGGACAUUGGUUACUAAUAGCUUACUAGUGUGUUUUAUUCCAUUGGUGACUGCACUUGGACCAAAAGCCAUAGGAUGGUUAGAUAGUGUCGCCACAAGUACACAUGAAGCUUACGUUGCCAACGUCACAGAUAGUGAACCCAGCAUAAAGACGUAUUACAUCACACCAUUUUACGUUUACGUUGCUGACGUCAAUAGGAUUAGGAAACGCCGAGAAAAUAUUCUCAAUAUUUGCUGUUCUGCUUGGUUCUCGACGAAGUGAGCGAUCUAACUGGCGCAGAAGAAUAACUAGAGCGGGACCGCAGAUUGGAGAUGAGCCGUUAUUUAGCCUAUGGUGACAUAAAUACAGCGUUCAAAGACAAAUCAGUGAAAAUUUUCAGCUAUUACAACAAUGUCACAGUUCGUUUCCGGCGGAAAUAACAUAUUAUUCUGGGAAACAUCACACGGUGGAGCGCCCUCUACUUAUCGUCCACAUUCCUUGGAAGCUGAUGAUACAGUGCCACCUAUAAAAGUGAAACAAACGUCACAGUCAAACCUCGUAAAAUCGGCUGCAAACUAAACCAUCAGCAAGGUGAAAGUGCUCAAUAGCAAACUCACAACACACAGAUCGCCAAGCGCCCGGACACAGUCGCACAACGUCAGCCGAUACUAGUAAGUGAUGUCGUCUGCUUACAGAACACAACGUCAGUCGAUACAAAUAUGAGAGAAUCCGUGAACAAUUCAGAUUUAUGUAAUUAUCUCCCUUCUGUCCUCAAAAACUAUACAAGAAAGUAUAUUGGUGAAAACCUAGUCUUCGUGGUAAAUUGAGCAGCGACAAAUAAAGGGAGCUUAUCGUAGUUAUAACGUUAUCGAGAUAAAUGAC